rnacentral:rRNA from 1 species
AACGAACGCUGGCGGCAUGCCUAACACAUGCAAGUCGAACGAGACCAUCGGGUCUAGUGGUGCCGGGGGGCGUAACGCGUGGGAACCUGCCCUUAGGUUCGGAAUAACUCCCCGAAAGGGGUGCCAAUACGGGAUAAUAUCUCCGGACCAAUGAUUUAUCGCCCUGGGAUGGGCCCGCGUUGGAUUAGCUAGUUGGUAGGGUAAAAGCCUACCAAGGCGACGAUCCAUAGCUGGUUAGAGAGGAUGGUCAGCCACACUGGGACUGGGACACGGCCCAGAAUCCUACGGGAGGCAGCAGUGGGUAAUAUUGGACAGUGGGCGAAAGCAUGAACCAGCAAUGCCGCGUGAGUGAUGAAGGCCUUAGGGUUGUAAAGCUCUUUUACCCGGGAUGAUAAUGACAGUACCGGGAGAAUAAGCUCCGGCUAACUCCGUG